AACGAACGCUGGCGGCAGGCUUAACACAUGCAAGUCGAACGCAUGCCUUCGGGCAUGAGUGGCAGACGGGUGAGUAACGCGUGGGAACCUACCCCUUGGUACGGGAUAGCUCCGGGAAACUGGAGAUAAUACCGUAUGUGUCCUGAGGGACAAAGAUUCAUCGCCAAGGGAUGGGCCCGCGUCGGAUUAGCUAGUUGGUGGGGUAACGGCCUACCAAGGCGACGAUCCGUAGCUGGUCUAAGGGGAUGAUCAGCCACAUUGGGACUGAGACACGGCCCAAACUCCUACGGGAGGCAGCAGUGGGGAAUAUUGGACAAUGGGCGCAAGCCUGAUCCAGCCAUGCCGCGUGAGUGAUGAAGGCCCUAGGGUUGUAAAGCUCUUUCACCGGUGACGAUAAUGACGGUAACCGGAGAAGAAGCCCCGGCUAACUUCGUG
rnacentral:rRNA from 1 species